rnacentral:rRNA from 1 species
GACGAACGCUGGCGGCGCGCUUAACACAUGCAAGUCGAACGGAAAGGCCCUGCUUUUGUGGGGUGCUCGAGUGGCGAACGGGUGAGUAACACGUGAGUAACCUGCCCUUGACUUUGGGAUAACUUCAGGAAACUGGGGCUAAUACCGGAUAGGAGCUCCUGCUGCAUGGUGGGGGUUGGAAAGUUUCGGCGGUUGGGGCUGGACUCGCGGCUUAUCAGCUUGUUGGUGGGGUAGUGGCUUACCAAGGCUUUGACGGGUAGCCUGCCUGGGAGGGUGACCGGGCACAUUGGGACUGAGAUACGGAGCAGACUGCUACGGGAGGCAGCAGGGGGGAAUCUUGCACAAUGGGCGGAAGUCUGAUGCAGAAACGCCGCGUGCGGGAUGACGGCUUUCGGGUUGUAAACCGCUUUCGCCUGUGACGAAGCGUGAGUGACGGUAAUGGGUAAAGAAGCACCGGCUAACUACGUG